rnacentral:lncRNA from 1 species
AUAAUAAAAAACUUUGCGCGAUGAAAUCUUAUUUGGCACGACAUAUCUGAUUUCUUGUAGUAGUGUCUCGAGAUAUCAUUAUAAAGUAAAUCAUCAGCACUUCACUUUUGAUCGUGAUAGUAAAUAAACAAUAAUUAAUUGUUAGACAAGUAAUAUGAUGAUGAGGGGAUAAUGCAUGGGAAAAAAAAUGUGUUACCUGAAAGCAUAUUUGCAUUGGACCCCUUUAGAUUUUGUAAAUCAAAACUCGCAAUUUGUAGUAUUAAUUAUGUUUUCACACUAUAUAAUUAUAUAUAGCUACAAUGCCAAAGUAAUACAUAUCGAUUAAGGACUGUUUAAAAUUGUUUUCAAGUUUUUUCAGAGAUAAAUGUACUUUUUGAACAACAAAUCAGUAGGAGCCUUGUUAAAAAGAUAUACACAUUUAAAGUUAGUGGCUGGGAACUAUUGAAGGUAGAACCGAUUAAUUUAGCCAUCCAGAUAAUGAAAGCCAGCUUAAUCUUUGAAAGGACGUUUUCCAGGACAAUUAUAUUCCAUUCAGCUGUAUAUGUGAUAUACACGAGCCAUAUAAAAAAAAAAGAGAUGAUCGACUACUUGUGUUUUUGAGAUGAUCGACUGCCUAUCUAUCUCUCUUAUCUUCUGGUGCUGCCAUCGAU